UGGGUGACGAUCAAUCAUAUGCGGUUAGAACAGCGUUGAAAAACAAAACAGAUGAUCAAGAAGAAAUCAGCAAUGUUAUUUAUAUUCCUUAUGCAUUUACUAUUGUUUAUUUUAGCCGUUUACCUGGAUUUGUUGUAGUACCACUACUUUCAGUGAAAUCAGAAAAAGAAUUAGCUAGAAUGAAUUUGUUUCUCACAAGCGUGUUCUUAAUCUCAGCAAAUUCCUUUUUCUUUGUUAGGUACGCCUGAUAUUUUUUCUUUGUCACUUUAAAUUCAAAUCUUAUCUUAAGAAUUAAGACAACAUUGUAUGUCAAAUUAAAUGGAAAAAAAUAACAAACAUCAUGCUAGAAUAUUUUAGACAGAAUUUAUUUUAACAAGGAACAUUAUGUGUGAACAUUAUGCAAGAAUUAAGCAUUUUCCACUCUUGUCAAGACUAUCCUUGCUAAGUCAUUUUCUAAAGAUUGUGGUCAACUUCAGCCGCUGAAUUUUCUCAUUCCAUCGUCUAAAGGUUCGGUUCCUAAUCCAACACCUUCCUCUGAAAAAGAUGGAUAUUCCUAUGAAACACCGGUUGAGUUAGAUUGAUAAUAUAUUGUGUAUUAGAUUGUUUUUUUAAUUUGUUGAAUGUUUGAUUUGUAUGAAUUCUUAAAUGUUAUUUAAUUUAAUUCUUAAAUGUUAUAUUGAGAAUUAAAUUAAAAUUGUUAAAACUAAAAUUGUUUUAUGCAGGUAUAAAGGAUUUGAGAGAGAGCAAAUCAUCCAGUUAAGGUUGGGCUAAUCAUUGUUGGAGGAGCUGUUAACUUAAAUACUUUAGUUUAUUUGAGUUAUUUGAUUAAUGGAUUGUAAUAGUUUAAACUUCAAGUGUAAAGGGCUCGAAUAGCCCAACCCAACAUGAAAGCAAUAUAAAAGAGGCAUCUAAAACCCUAGAUGCACUUACUUGCCUAUUUUCUUUCUCUCCACGACUCUUCCUCUCCUCUUCUCUUCUAACAGUAACUCCAAGCGAUUUCUUAAUCGCACUCAAACCCUACUUAGGGUUUUUCAUGGUAUCAGAGCGCUCGGCUACUUCGAUCACACUGUGUUAGUGCAAAAUGGACAAAGAGGGCAAAGUCAUAGUUCCAACAGACUUGAAGGGCAACGGACCGGAGGACUUCCUGUCGCCGAACCAAGAUCGCAAAAGCAUCUACAUGUUCAUGCGUCAGAUGCACCUGGAUCGUGCUUAGUCACGAAGAAACUUGUUGGGGAAACCAACUUUUAUCAGUGGCAAUGUGCCAUGAAAGUAGCACUUGUUUCACGGCAAAAAUUGGGUUUUGCAACAGGAGAUAUCGCUAAGCCGCCGGUGGAAUCUAAAGAUCGCGAAGCAUGGGAGACAUGCAACGGCUUGGUUCUGUCCUGGUUGUUUAAUGCUGUUGAACCGGAGAUAGCAACUACCCUCCUGUACACUGACUUGGCUGCUGCAGCAUGGAGAGAUCUCGAGGACAGAUACAAGAUUGCAAACAAACCUCAAAUAUUUCAGAUGAAAUAUGACAUCAGUACGAUGUCCCAAGGUGAGGAUAACGUUUGUAUUUAUUUUCAAAAGCUUAAAAGUCUUUGGGAUCAAUUAGAUUCUUGUAUCAAAAAACCUGUGUGUGCAUGCGGAAAGUGUACUUGUGAUGUUCUGAAGCAGUUCUCGGAAUUAGAAGCAGAAGAUAGAGUUUUGCAAUUUCUGUUAGGUUUGGGUGAAGGAUUCAUGCCCAUCAGAGGGCAAAUUUUAUCAUCAAAUGAAGGACUACCAAGCUUGAACAAGAUAUUUUCACUGGUUCAACAGGAUGAAAAGCAUCGCAAUUUUCAUAAGAGGAAGAAUUCAGAAAUAGGAUCAUAUUAUGUGCAAUCUGAGAAUAUGAAGAAGCCAUUGAGAAUGGGGAGGACACCAAACAGACCCUAUACUGAUUUUGGGAGGAAUGGAAAAAGGCUUAACACUGACCUUUGGUGCGACCAUUGAGAGAGGCAUGGUCACACCAAAGACAUCUGUUAUAAAUUAGUGGGUUACCCUCCAAAGAAAAAUCAGGACAAGGGCAAGGCCACAGUCAAUGCAUAUCCACGCCAUGCAAAGUUCUCACCAAUGGACGUUAACCUGUACUAUUAACCAAUGUACUAUAUGUAUAUAUAUAUAUUAAUAAAUAUUUAUGUGAUUAUUAAAUCAAAGUCAUUAAAUUUAAUAUAAAUAAAGGAGGUCAAUUUCUUUGUAAGUUAUUAUAAGGUUGAUUCUACAAUGUACCGAUAAUAUUUAUUUAAAAAAUACUAAAAUAUUCAGCUCAAAUCUGAAAUUACAAAAUUUCCAGCCCCAAAUAAAAAUCUUCAAAUUUAGAAUCCAGUCGACCGACCAGCCCUGAUCUCUCCCGUCUAGGCUCCUCAGUCCUCACCAUAUUCGUGAAGGUCCAAGGCGGUUCAUCAUCUCUGAUCUCUUUAAUUCUCCUCGCCAUUUUCUGCUUUCUUUUUUUCAUUCGGUCACAACUCAGAAAGGUAAUUUCUUCUUUUCAUUCUCUCCUAUCGGUGACAAACAGUUUUGAUAAUUUUGAAGUUCUGAUUUUUAUAAUUUAAAGGUAAAAAAUUAAAUAUUUCAUGAUCUGAAUUCAUCAUUGUUUAGAAUUUUUAUUCCAAAUCUUCCAUGGUUUUUUAUGGUCUGAAUUCAUUUGCUUCGAUUCAUGUUUUAUGGACUGAAUUCAUGUUUUAUUCCGAUUCAUGUUUGUUUGAAGUCAAGUGAUUUUUUUUUCUUUUUCUUUCUUAAGAUGCUUCGAUUUUUAACCUUUUAUCCGUUCACCAAGCCGUCGAUCUUCUUACCAAUCUUCGCCCUGCUUGCUGCUCCAUCUCUGAAACAAAAAGGGAAGAAAUAGGAAUUAACUCAAAGUUUCAAAUACUCAAUUAACAAUUGAGAUCAACAUAUAUAAGUAAGUUUGAUUUUAUUAUUACACAGUAUCAUAGUUUUGUUCAUAUGUUUUUUAACAGUCUAUUAUUUAAUGUUCAUACUUGAUACUUCAUUGUUCAAUUUCACUGUGUUGUCUGUUUAAUUUCUUAAUAGAAUGCACCCACAACCAAUCAAGUGAACCUGUUGAAUUAGUGAUGAAUGAUUAAAAGAAAAUUUUUAAUUUGCAUUUCAAAUUUCAAGUUAUGUUUUAUUUGGAAUUCUAUGUUUUGACUUUGACAUGAAAUCUUAGAUCCACCAUCGAAUGGAAGGCUGGUAUAUAGAUCCUGGAUAUUUCAAUUUCCAUCUCUUUACAAUGUCCAUCGUCGUGUUCGUACUCCUCCGUUUUUCCUACAUCUACUAUUGGACCGGACGUCCAUUUGGUCAAAGUUCUACGCGAUGUUCUCUGAAAACUCUAAUAGUGUUGGGAUCAGGUAACCAAUCUUUUGUUUUUCUUUUUCUUCCCAUAGUAAACUAAACUGGCAAGAGAAUAAAUACAAGAAUGUGACAAAAAUGCGGUAGGAGGGCACACGGCGGAGAUGCUGAAUCUGCUGGUAGUGCUUGAUAUGGAUAAGUUUGGACCAAGGAUUUAUGUUGCAGCUGAGACGGAUAACAUGAGUCUUGAGAAAGCUGGGGUGUUUGAAAAUAAGUUGAUGGCGGAUCGGGAGGUUUGUUUUGUUUUGAAAUCUUUGUUGUUGUUAAUGUAUUACUAUGGAUUAUGUUGAUUUGUUAUUGGGUUUUUUCAGAAAAACUAUUCCAAGAACAGUGAACAUCCUAAGUUUAUGAAAAUUUAUCGAAGUCGGGAAGUAGGUCAGUCAUAUGUGACUUCCAUUGGAACAACCCUUAUUGCCGCUGCCCAUGCUUUAUGGAUCAUAUUCAAGGUCCAACCACAAGUGGUAACGAAUUAAAUAAAAGAAAUACUUUCGAUUAUGAAAUCUGAGCAUGGCAAUUGGAAAAAUGGGUUAUUGAUUGUUAAUUUUCAGGUUAUUUGCAAUGUGCCUAGUACCUGCUUUCCACUCUGUUUAUGUGCGUAUUUUUUGAAGGUAAUUAAAUUUACUAACCAACCAUUGUGUUAUGUUUUGAAAAGAAAGAAUAUACAAGUAAAUUUAUCAUGUAGUGCAUGUUGUUUCUAUGGUUGAUGCAGUUCGUUGGUCUCAGAUGGUGCUCCAUCUUCUAUGUGGAGAGCAUAGCAAGAGUGAGGAGACUCUCAUUGAGUGGGAUGCUUGUGUACAAAUUACACCUCGCCGAUCAAUUUUUUGUGCAAUGGCCACAGUUAUACAAGGAAUAUCCCAGUGCAAAAUAUGUUGGACGUCUCAUGUAGUUAAACAAGAACUGUGCUGUGCCAUCAUGGAUUCGUGGGUGACGAUCAAUCAUAUGCGGUUAGAACAGCGUUGAAAAACAAAACAGAUGAUCAAGAAGAAAUCAGCAAUGUUAUUUAUAUUCCUUAUGCAUUUACUAUUGUUUAUUUUAGCCGUUUACCUGGAUUUGUUGUAGUACCACUACUUUCAGUGAAAUCAGAAAAAGAAUUAGCUAGAAUGAAUUUGUUUCUCACAAACGUGUUCUUAAUCUCAGCAAAUUCCUUUUUUUUGUUAGGUAC
rnacentral:lncRNA from 1 species